GGGCCCAUAGCUCAACGGUUAGAGCACCGCACUCAUAAUGCGUAGGUUCCAGGUUCGAAUCCCGGUGGGCCCACAA
rnacentral:tRNA from 1 species